rnacentral:rRNA from 1 species
GGAAUAUUGCGCAAUGGAGGAAACUCUGACGCAGUGACGCCGCGUAUAGGAAGAAGGUCUUCGGAUUGUAAACUAUUGUCGUUAGGGAAGAGAAAGGACAGUACCUAAGGAGGAAGCUCCGGCUAACUACGUGCCAGCAGCCGCGGUAAUACGUAGGGAGCAAGCGUUAUCCGGAUUUAUUGGGUGUAAAGGGUGCGUAGACGGGAAGGCAAGUUAGUUGUGAAAUCCCUCGGCUUAACUGAGGAACUGCAACUAAAACUAUCUUUCUUGAGUGCUGGAGAGGAAAGUGGAAUUCCUAGUGUAGCGGUGAAAUGCGUAGAUAUUAGGAGGAACACCAGUGGCGAAGGCGACUUUCUGGACAGUAACUGACGUUGAGGCACGAAAGUGUGGGGAGCAAACA